rnacentral:lncRNA from 1 species
CUUUAUGAAUUACAUAGAUCCCAAUAUUUUUGUUACUUUUUUUUUAAUUUCCUUCCUCACAACACCAGUAAUAGAAAGAAAAUAUAUUAAUUUACAUUGAUUAUUUAGUAAUUAUUCGUUAUUAACAUAGUUUAUACAGCGAAAUAUCUACUUUUUGAUAUGGGACGUGCUCUGACGUCCCUCGGCCCAGCUUGUCUGGCAAAACAGCCGUUGCACAUCAGAACAAUCUGUAAAACGUGGAGACCUCUGAAGAUCCUCGCC